rnacentral:rRNA from 1 species
CCUACGGGGGGCAGCAGUGAGGAAUAUUGGUCAAUGGGCGAGAGCCUGAACCAGCCAAGUCGCGUGAGGGAAGACGGUCCUAUGGAUUGUAAACCUCUUUUGCCGGGGAGCAAAAAGCGGUACGUGUACCGCAUCGAGAGUACCCGGAGAAAAAGCAUCGGCUAACUCCGUGCCAGCAGCCGCGGUAAUACGUAGGUGGCAAGCGUUGUCCGGAUUUACUGGGUGUAAAGGGCGUGUAGCCGGGCUGACAAGUCAGAUGUGAAAUCCGGGGGCUCAACCCCCGAACUGCAUUUGAAACUGU